GGACUGAAAGCAGAGAGUACUGGAUUCAGAGGAAAUGCCUUAAUUGGGAGAUUUGUGUCCUUGUUGUCAGGUCUCACUGGGGAGGCAAGAAGAAGAAAGAUAUGGAUUCCUGACAUUUGUUGAGAGGAUGGUUGGCUUUCUCCUCUUAGAUUUUAGAGUGAGUGUAGAGCUUUUCAGAGCUCUUAAAGGUUCUUAAGUGUAUGAGUAUUUGCUGUUAGGGCAUUUGCAGACCCUGACGAAAAGGAGCCCAGCCAGAGGAGACCAGGAUCGUGAACUGCGGUAGACGAGGCUCGCCCAGCACAGAAAGAUCUAACUCCUUGUGAUAUACCCCAUGGAUAUUCAAACAAUAUGGGGUAUUAUUGGACUAUUAUCAUAAUAUGGAUAUUUUAGAUCACAUAAUUUGGGUUGAUGCUGUGUUAUUUUAGACUCCUAAAAUUGCUUUUAAAAAUGUAUAGAUAUAGCACAUGAAAAAUUGAAGAGGAAAAUGACUCCUUAUAAUACAAAGAUUUUUAUACCAUCAGUUAAUCUCACUAAAGGUUAGGUUGGCAUUUACUAAUAUUUUUUAAAAAUAUGUAAGACUAGGAAAUGUGAAAGGGCUUGCAGGCUAUGGACAUUUUUACCCUAUAUGCAUAUUUUUAAGUGCCUUCUAUGUUGUUGUAGGAGCCGAAGGAAAGCUUUACCUUCAACUUCUGAAGAUGUGUUAAAAGUCACUGACAAGAGUCAAAUUAAUAACAGAAAAGGCAUACAAAUUUAAUUGAUCAUAGUUUUACAUAACACAGGAGCCUUCAGAAUGAAGAUCCAAAGAUACAGAGGAAUUGUACAUUUUAAUGCUUAGGGUCGACAAAAUAUGGACAGCCAUGUACAAAUACGAUUGGGCAAAAAGAGAAUGAUCUACUGCCAAUAGAGUUGGGAAACCCAGCAAGGCCUGUCUGUCUAGACUCCUCUUGGCCUCACUGCGCAGCAUUCGUUCCUCCUUGGUGUGUGGCAGGACCCUCUAUGGAAAGAGGGUGUUAUGACCUACAAUUAAAAAAGACUUGGAGCUAAAGCAGCUGUCAACCUGGAAGUACCAAUGGACACUGACAAAACAAUAAACAAAUCUCCAACAAAAGCCUGUUCUCUCUAGCCAAAAAUCCAAGACAGUCUUGAGAAGACUAGUAAGACAGAAAACUUUUAGACAAUAACAGCUCUACUCCAGCCAGCCACAACAACAAUAACAAAAAAACUGUGGCUCUACCCCACCCAUGGCAAAAGCCAAGUGGGGAAGCCAAGCUUUCCACUCAUGCCUGACUGUGACAAGGCACUCACCCUUCCUUCCAGGGUAACGUCUGGGAAAGCUGAGUAAGGAAUUGGUAGUUUCAUUCUCACUGGGUGGUAAGGAGUCCACCUUACUGUUAGCAGAGUCCACAUGACUUUAGUAGUGUUGGUAGUUGUGGUGGUAUUAUUAGUAGAGGCCAUUUAGGGAGCCAUGACAAGGCACUCAUAUCCAUCGCAGUCAGUGAGUUACCAGCAGACACCUCGUGUGGAGUUGGAAGUCCCAACCCUAGCAGUUGGAGACAGACUCCCUGCUACAACUUGAGAGUCAACAGAGGCCAAAUAAGGAACCUGGAGACCUGGGCAUUUAUCCCACAGAAACGGAACUUAUACCCACCCAAAAGGUUACCCAAAAAUAUGUGUAGUAGUUUUAAUUAUAGUAGUCAGUAACUGGAAACAAUCCAGAUGUCCUUCAAAAAGUGAAUGGUUAAGCAAACUGUGGUACUUCCAUUUCUUGGGAAAUUACUCAGUAAUUUAAAAAAAAUUGUUAAUGCAACAACCUAGAUGACUAUUCAGAGAUUUGUGCUGAGUGAAAAAAGCAAUCCCAAAAGGUUGUAUCUUGUAAUUCCAUUUAUGUAUUUUUCCUGAAAUGACAAAACUGCAGAAAUGUAGAACAAAUUAGUGGCUGCCAGGUGUUAAGGAGAAGGUGAAGAUAAGAGAAAAAUGUGUGCAGCUAUAAAAGUGCAACAUGAGGGAUCCUUGUGGUAGUGAAACUAUUCGGUAUCUUGCUUAUAUCAAUGUCAGCAUGUUACUUGUGAUUUUGUGGUGUUUGAUUUUUUUGGCGUUGUUAUAGUUUUUCCAUUGGUGGAUAUUGGGUGAAUAGCCCAUGAGAUAUAUCUGUAUUAUUUCUUCCAACUGCAUGUG
rnacentral:lncRNA from 1 species